CGGGAUGUAGCGCAGUUUGGCUAGCGCGCCUGCCUUGGGAGCAGGAGGUCGGGGGUUCGAGUCCCUUCAUCCCGA
rnacentral:tRNA from 1 species